GACGAACGCUGGCGGCGUGCUUAACACAUGCAAGUCGAACGGAAAGGCCCUGCUUUUGUGGGGUGCUCGAGUGGCGAACGGGUGAGUAACACGUGAGUAACCUGCCCUUGACUUUGGGAUAACUUCAGGAAACUGGGGCUAAUACCGGAUAGGAGCUCCUGCUGCAUGGUGGGGGUUGGAAAGUUUCGGCGGUUGGGGAUGGACUCGCGGCUUAUCAGCUUGUUGGUGGGGUAGUGGCUUACCAAGGCUUUGACGGGUAGCCGGCCUGAGAGGGUGGCCGGCCACAUUGGGACUGAGAUACGGCCCAGACUCCUACGGGAGGCAGCAGUGGGGAAUAUUGCACAAUGGGCGGAAGCCUGAUGCAACAACGCCGCGUGCGGGAUGACGGCCUUCGGGUUGUAAACCGCUUUCGCCUGUGACGAAGCGUGAGUGACGGUAAUGGGUAAAGAAGCACCGGCUAACUACGUG
rnacentral:rRNA from 1 species